GGCGCGGUAGCUCAGCAGGUUAGAGCGAACGACUCAUAAUCGUUAGGUCGGGAGUUCGAGUCUCCCCCACGCCACCA
rnacentral:tRNA from 1 species